ACGUAGGCAUACUUAUAAAACAACUUAGGACCUUGAUUCGCACAGGUGCUUAUUUUUGUUGAUGCUACCAGACAAAACUCUGGUAGUGACGAGUAAUUAUUAUUCGCUAUCUUAAUAAAACGCAAUUCGUCGUGUCUUGAAUUUUAGCUAGAAAAUUAAAAUUAACAAAUUAAAUUGCGCCAUUAAAGUUUGGAAUAUUUCUGCUGAAUUUAAAGUGUACAUUUUUUAACGAAGAAAUUGCCCAAAUGAGGAAUAGAGUAGUAUGUCUGCUAAUAAUAGUAAUGAAUUCUGGAAACAGAGUUCAUUUUGCGGAUUCAUUUUCCGUCUCAGUUCCUGCAACUCGAUCCGUGUGCAAAAGUAUGAAACCUGGGCAUGACCAGUACAAGCCACAAGCGUCUUCCUCCUCACCUGGUAAUGUGACCACGGAUAUUACCCAGGUUCGUGGCGGAGAAACGGUGGAUGGUAAUGAAUAACUCUUAAAAAUCUCUUAACAGAUAGGUGACCUUUGUAGCGUUUAAUUUAGUGUCUUGCGAAAAAAAACUGCCAGAAAUUUUCGCCAAUUUUUACAAAUAGGCAAAUAUAAUAAUUUGUUAUAUACUAAAUAGAUGGUUCUUAUUUCUUGCCUUUUUGCAUCGCGUAAGAAAUUCUGUCCGAAAAACAACACAAUUUCUUACAGUAGUUUCGUGCAUGUGGUGUUUUUUACAGAUAGCAGUGCAUGAUAACUUAUAUUUCAUACAUUUCAAAAGACAUGAAAUGUGGAUGAUUUUUAAUUUCUAAGAAAUCUGCAGAAAUCCUUGUCUCCUUAGUCACAAUUUAUGCAAGAAAUGGAGAAAAAUUCAAAGGCUUCUACAUCCAAGCCAGGGAUGAAAAAGGUGCCCCGAUUGGAACAUUUAAUGAAAACACUUAUGUAAAAACGCACAGUUGCGGUGGAAUAAAGUCGAAUGCUGCCCAUCACGUAAAUUCUGAAGACAAAACUAAAGUUCAAGUGUCCUGGACGGCGCCUGCGAAUUACAAUGGCAGAGUGCAAAUUCUGGCCACCAUCGUGCAACGAUUUAAUACGUACUGGACUGGAAUUAAAGCGAAUGCGAUUUCCGUUGUCGGUUAAAAACAGUGUUUUGAAAUAUUGAAAAUUGUAUCGAAAUUUAAAAUAAAUAAUGCAAGGUUGCAAGUGAAUUUUCUCGUGGGCGAAACUUUCCUCAAAAUUAAUCGCAUGACUUAUGUACGGUCCCGAAGGGAUGGUUGAUUAUUUUUAUCCAGGAAUUUGUCAGGUAUCCACUGGUUGCUAUGGUUACAAAAUAAAUGCAUCCUUUUUUACACCAAACGAACCAACAUUAGCUUUCCAUCCAUAUUACUCUAACACAACACUGCACAGUUAAAUCCUGUAAAUACAUAAAAUAUUUCCCAACACACGACACCAAAUUAAAUUUAUUGGACCAGACAAACUCAAUAAGUAUCUAUGCACCAAAUUAAAAUGGAUGUGAACCCAGGACAGAAAUGGGGAUGUCCAAGGUGCUCGAAAACGUUAAAAACUGAUAACCCGUUGGACACAAACAUGGUCAGGAACGAUCCCGAUGCCAAGGUCAAAUGUGAGGUUUGCGAAAUAAUUGCUAAAAACACACUCGCCUUAUCUUCCCGCUUUAAGAAGCUACCAAGUUGUGACACGUGUCAACGGGUGUUUUCCAAUUCGUAUAACUUACAGCGACAUGUUGACGCCAUCCACAGCACGAGGGAACGACCUCGUUUUCCAUGUACGUCUCUUGGAUGUGGCAAAACCUACCAAAACAAGCGUGGUCUUUUGCAUCACGUGAAAACUGAACAUGCCGAAAAUCCGGUCCGAUUUCCGUGCACACUUUGCGAAAAGGAGUUCAAAACGAGGCCUCAAGUUCAGAAUCACGUUCUCACCCAUACGACGGAGAAGCCGUACAAUUGUGUCACUUGUGGGAGGAGUUUUGCCCACGUGGGAAGUAUGAAACGGCACGAGAUCACGCAUUUGGAAAAAUCUACCCUAGAUGUGCCAAAGUGUCACAUCUGUCCUAAAACCUUCUUAAGUAGGAUUGGUUUACAACGGCACAUCCGAGUUGUGCAUGAAAAUCAAAGGAAUUAUCCUUGCGCAUUUUGUGACAAGAGAUUCUCUCACUCAUCAAAUUUGAGGGUUCACGUGGAGGCGAGACAUGCCACGAACAAAGGGCCGAUCCAUUCCUGCGACAAAUGCGAGUACAGGAGCUACUCGAAACACAAUUUGGCCAAUCACAGAAGGCGUCACAAGGUUGCGAAUCAUGGAUGUUACUUCUGUGGGAAGAAAUUCAUCAGUUUUCCCGAAUUGGUCCAACAUUUUAAGGUGCAUACUUUAGAAAAGUUAAAACAUUUAGGUCAUGGAUAGGUCAUGGCACGUGGAUAAUUUGCGAAUUUUUCCUACAGUAAAAAUUUUGUCAAAUAUCGAAAACCUAUAGAUUUUCGAUAUUUGAAAAACUUUUUGAAUUGAAAAUCAUGAAUGUUAGUUAUUUGACACAUACAUACUUAUUUGCUAGUAAGUACUAUACAUGCCUAAAUCUCGUUAAAUUUAUUAAUAUCCGAAGUAUGUACAUAAGUAGUUGCUUUGAAUAUGCAUCUUCUAGGUACUCAAUACAUACCAUACAUAUGCAUAUGUGCAUACACGGUGUAUGUAUGUAUGUACACAUGCAAGAUUUGUUUGCGUGUAUAAUACAAAUCUUGCAUUGCAAAAUAGUCGGCUCAUUCCGAAUUGCACAUUUUUUACCCGACGGCCUUUACGUAUGUAUGUAUGUAAAGUGUGAUGCUCUGUAAUAAAGUUUCUUUCACUAUACUGUACAUCUAUGCAUUACUCUAUGUAGAACAUACAUAUGUACAUAUCACCAUAUCACCACCCCUUGCCACUCAACUUUCUUAACUCACAGAUUUAUACAUCUGAAUUCUUCAAAGCAUUAAAAAAUACAAUAUUUACAAAUAAUUUCUUGCUAAAAUGCUGAAAUGUGUAGCCCUAUCUGUAAAAAUUACCCACCCUACUACAAAACAAACCGAGUGGAGAAGUGGACUAAUUCCUCCAGAAGAACGAGAAAAUCCAUCCUUCAAUUUAAUCAAGUGGGGAAUUAAAGAGAAACUUAUUCCAUUCCGGGAUGAAGGACCUCGCAACUUGUCUCAAUUUCGGGAUAAUCUCACCCAAUUUCUGACCAGCAGGGAGCAACAGGCCGAACUCUACGCACAAUUUGACGUACCUCCAAUACCAACUUGGACUCCGCUUAUAGAACCAAUCCAAAUUACAGGGGAAGAAAUCGACGCAAUGAUCAGAGACGAAGUACGAAAUCGUGCCAAUUUCGAGGAACAUCGUGAACCUUGCAAAGCUUUGGAGGAAGCAGUUAUGCACCCAGAUACUCAGGAGUGGCUGAAUAAUGGCAAAAUCUUAUUUCUCGGAUCCCAGCGACCCUUGAACUGCAUCAUGCAGAAAUCUGAGUACAACCUUGGCCUGAGGAGGGUUCUAUCUUCCCUCCAUCCAUCCCAAAUUUACGACAUGUUUGCCAAAACCGUCUACAAUUCUGACGAUCGACGAUAUCAACAGCGUUCCGCAAUCGGACGAAUUGCAGAGGACAAAGUUCUCCAAAAUAAAUCAGGUUUAUCUACCAUUCUGAGAUAGACUGUGGUCCGAACUGUGCCGGAAAUGGAAUUGAAUUCAAGACAAAGACUUUCUUUGCUGAUGAAAAACACAAAGCAGUCAAUUUUUUGGAAUCAAGGAUUACUUACAGCAACAAGCUGAAGGAGAUUUAUUGCAAAGCAUAUCUCUCACGAUUGAACACGGCUGUAUUUGCGCUACUGGAGGAACAAACAGACCCUUAUGGACCGAGCAACUUUGACAUUAAAAAUAUGCGGUUUUACGACACAGCGAUGAUUGCUUCAACUCCGGAAGAAGACUUGGGAGUUUGGACCGAAGCCGAAAUCCAACAUGAAUUGGAAAACUUUGGAGAAUUUCUAAAAUCACUACAAUUUAUUCAGGCUACUAGUAACCUGAAAAAGAAAUUGUUUGAGAUCGUUGGCAAGAAAUUUAACAGAGGCAGGACUUCGAUAACGAUAAGUUCACCAACAUAUAUAAGACAGUCGAACUAGGUACUCGAUGUAUGUAUUCAUCACUAGUUCGCAUCGUAAUGGUAACAACUUUAGAAAAA